ACCUUCAUAGUUCAGUUGGUUAGAGCACCAGUGGGAGGUCUUGAGUUCAACUUUCAAUGAAAGCA